GAUCGCACGACGCUUCGGCUUCGAGGCCUAUCAAAGCAGUAAUGAUGAUAACUGCUACCAUCACGUUGCCCUAGCCAAGAGAACCCUCCGGCUUCCGAGGCCUAUAAAUACCGCUGCAUUCAACACUCAAUCCACACUUGCAAUAAGAAGCUGAAGCUCUACCGAUUUUAUUUCUCUCAUUAUUUCUUUGGAGAUCAUCAUUUUAUUCCCGAACUCCCCCUCCAUCACCAGCCCAGAUGGCCAGAAACAAUCCUUCUAGGACCACAGAUAACGCCCCCACCAACACCAAUGCUGCGGGGACCUCCUCGUCCAAGGGCGGAGGUAGGAAAGUCUUUGAGGUCAACCUGAUCUCUAAAGAUGAGUUCGUGAAGACCGUCACCGAGGGUUUCAUUUUCGCUGCUAAGGAUCCCCGGUUCCUUGAGCCCCAUGAGAAGCCGGACCAAGCCCAUCCAGGAGAGAUUGUGAUCGGGCCAGACCAAAUCUCCGCCGGGCUUCGCUUUUGGCUCCACUAAGACGUGGUGAACAUGUGCAAGGCGUACAUGAUCGCCCCCACCCAACUCUCCUCCAAUGCGUGGAGGAUCUGCUUCUACUUCUUCCUUCAUUACAAACUACAGGGAAGGAAUUACUCACUACAGGUGUUCCGCCACUCCUACCGAUUUCAGUGGAACCCCGAUGGCUACGAAGGGGAAUUUUUCCUUAUCCCUCCUCACUUGUCCUCUAUCGUGCACUUAUUGCACUCCAGGCUAAGGCGGGGUUGCCAAACCAAUUGUCAGCCUCUGCUAUCGCUCCCUCACCCGCCUCCUGCCCAAUGAAGCGCCAUCGGGAAGAGGCCAAGGAAUCUGGAGCCCCAACAAAGAGGAGGCUUGGACCUCCCGCACCACCAUCGUGAUCCGAGAUAACACUCCUCCACCACAAGACCAGGAGGAGGAAGAAGAGGAAAAAGCUCCAAUUUAGCAGCGGAAUAAGAAUGGGAAAACCCCCCGUCAUCGACCAGCCUGCUAGGGAGGAGGUGACUUCGCCAGCUCUGGAGUCGCCCUCCUCAAAGCACCAAUAGCAGCUCUAGCAGCAAGAGCAGCCACCACUCCACCAACCCUUCUACCAACCUCUCCUAGGACAUAAGUAUUAGGAUGGAACACUCCAACCACCUUAUAUGGACCCUCCCAUGUAAGGGGGUAGCUUGUUGUGGUGACCCAAGUCCUUGAAUUCAUUCUUUCUCAGAACCCAGUCUCCCACACUGAACUGCCUUGCUUUAACCUUCGCGUUAUAGUGCUUGGACACUACCUAUCAUGCAUGUGCUAUGGACUCUGUAGCCUCAAACCUUCGCUCAUCCACAGUGUUCAACUCCUUAUGACGUAGCUGCUCAUUGAGCUCUUCUUUAAUGAACUCUAUCAUGUGCGAAUAAAGACCAAUGUUCGCGUGGAGGACAACCUCUGAGCUAUACACCAAGCUAAACAUUAUCUCCCUCGUCAUUGCCCGCAGAGUUGUCCUGAACGACCAGAGAACGCUUGGGAGUUCAUCCACCCCGCUGCCUCUUAGUGCCUUGACUCUGGUGUGAAACCCAUGGAGCAGAGUCUUAUUGGUGUUCUCCGUUUGCUCAUUAGUUGUGGGAUGUCCCACUGAUCCAAAGCGCUGCUCAAUGUGAAGCUCAUCACAAAAAUCUUUAAACUCUUUUCCUUUAAA